rnacentral:rRNA from 1 species
GCCCAGACUCCUACGGGAGGCAGCAGUGAGGAAUAUUGGUCAAUGGCCGCAGGGCUGAACCAGCCAAGUCGCGUGAGGGAUGACGGUCCUAUGGAUUGUAAACCUCUUUUGUCGGGGAGCAAAGGGCGCCACGUGUGGCGUUUUGCGAGUACCUGAAGAAAAAGCAUCGGCUAACUCCGUGCCAGCAGCCGCGGUAAUACGGAGGAUGCGAGCGUUAUCCGGAUUUAUUGGGUUUAAAGGGUGCGUAGGCUGUGAGGUAAGUCAGCGGUGAAAUGCCCCCGCUCAACGGGGUGAAGUGCCAUUGAUACUGCCUUGCUGGAAUGCGGAUGCCGUGGGAGGAAUGUGUGGUGUAGCGGUGAAAUGCAUAGAUAUCACACAGAACACCGAUUGCGAAGGCAUCUCACGAAUCCGCGAUUGACGCUGAUGCACGAAAGCGUGGGUAUCAAACAGGAUUAGAUACCCUGGUAC